rnacentral:rRNA from 1 species
GAUGAACGCUAGCGAUAGGCUUAACACAUGCAAGUCGAGGGGCAGCAUGGUCUUAGCUUGCUAAGGCUGAUGGCGACCGGCGCACGGGUGCGUAACGCGUAUGCAACUUGCCUCACAGAGGGGGAUAACCCGUCGAAAGACGGACUAAUACCGCGUACACUCUAUGUUGGGCAUCCAAUGUAGAGGAAAUGAAAUUCGCUGUGAGAUAGGCAUGCGUCCCAUUAGCUAGUUGGUGAGGUAACGGCUCACCAAGGCGACGAUGGGUAGGGGAACUGAGAGGUUGAACCCCCACACUGGUACUGAGACACGGACCAGACUCCUACGGGAGGCAGCAGUGAGGAAUAUUGGUCAAUGGGCGAGAGCCUGAACCAGCCAAGUCGCGUGAAGGAUGACUGUCUUAUGGAUUGUAAACUUCUUUUAUACGGGAAUAACAAGAGUCACGUGUGGCUCCCUGCAUGUACCGUACGAAUAAGCAUCGGCUAACUCCGUG